GCUAAAAUCUAAAACCAACUGAAACCUAAAACCAUAAACUCCUCGAAGCUUUUAUUCAGCUUCUCAUCUCCCAUUCCCUAACUUUUCAUCAAAACUUUCAACACAAAGCCUUUGCAUAGAUUCUACAUUAUACCAGUGUAUACGAGAUCAAUUUCAGCUCAAUUUUGUUGGAAUACAAGUUGCCACUGUUGUUGAGUAAAAAGCUCCUUCUUGAUCAUCCGAAAGCUCCAAGAAAUCUACGAAAGGGAAGAGACCUGGAAAGAGAGGGAACCGUUUCUGGAAGAGCAUUGGUUUGGGCUUCAAAGCUCCUCGUGAAGCUAUUGAAGGUUCGUUUUCCUUCAAACUUAUGUAUGUAUGUAUUCAGGCCUUGUGGAAUUAAAGUUUAUGAUUAUAUAAACCACUUCUGGAAGUGAAAUAGAUAAAUAUGUAUUUAGAGUUUAUCUUUUUACAUAAACUAAUGGAGAAGAUUGAACCGGUGGGUCCAUAAUUAUGGCCUGAACAGUGGAGCCAGAUCCAGUGCUUGUUCAGUUUCUGGCUUGACCACCGGCAAUACCGCCCAAUAUAGCUGAGCAAAGUUUCGAAUUUGAAUAAUAAGAUUCACUACAGUAACGUAACUCUAGUACUUUCCAUGUCUUUUUAUUUCAUUGUAUUGUAGUAAUAUAGUCCUCUGGUUUUCUCAUGUUUUCCGUUUGUAGUAUUGGUUUAUGUCAUUUUAUUUGUUUUUGUGGGGUUGUAUGGUUCAAGAAAAGUUAUAGUCCUUGCUUUAGUUGAUUAAGGAGCUUCAAAGCUUUGUUAUUUUGCUCUACUUAAAAGACAGAUAUUUGCUUUGUUUUUA